rnacentral:rRNA from 1 species
GACGUAGGUGGCGAACGUUAUCCGGAAUUAUUGGGCGUAAAGGGUGCGUAGAUGGCCUGAUAAGUUAGCUGUGGGAAAUCGAGGCUCAACCUCGUGGAAGCUGGUAAUACUGUCAGGCUCGAGUGCAGGAGAGGUUAACGGAACUCCAUGUGGAGCGGUAAAAUGUGUAGAUAUAUGGAAGAACACCGAUAACAGCGAAGGCAGUUAACUAGUCUGUUACUGACGUUGAGGCACGAAAGCGUGGGGAGCAAAACGG